ACCUGCAGCAGGUUCGGGUCGAACGCAGUGAGACAACGGAGCCGCUUGCGGCGACGGCCCGAAGGGCGAGGCGAAGCCGAGUCAUCCUGCACGACCCACCA
rnacentral:sRNA from 1 species